AUACCACCAAGGACCUCCAGUGGUCGCUCACUUCUUUAUUAAAUCCCCCUUAGUGAUUUAAUAAAGAAGUGAGCGACCACUGGAGGUCCUUGGUGGUAU